AGGCGCAAAAGCGGUUUUAUUGUGUUCAGAAGCAGUAUGCUGCCAGCCUCUGAAGGGUUUUCCGUAGACCUCAUCUGAACUAGGCGAAAGCCGAAAGAAAACGGAGAAA
rnacentral:ncRNA from 1 species